rnacentral:ribozyme from 17 species
UUCCAACUCUUCUAUUUUCUUUUUUUCUUUUUCUUCCUUUUUUUUGGCUUCCUUGCGCAAUGCU